rnacentral:tRNA from 1 species
ACAUUGGUGGUUCAGUGGCAGAAUUCUCACCUUCCAUGUAGGGGACCUGGGUUCAACUCCAGGCCAAUGCA